UACGAAGGGGGCUAGCGUUGCUCGGAAUCACUGGGCGUAAAGCGCACGUAGGCGGAUUGCUAAGUCAGGGGUGAAAUCCUGGAGCUCAACUCCAGAACUGCCUUUGAUACUGGUGAUCUUGAGUCCGGGAGAGGUGAGUGGAACUCCUGGUGUAGCGGUGAAAUGCGUAGAUAUCAGGAGGAACACCGGUGGCGAAGGCGGCUCUCUGGACGGUGACUGACGCUGAGACGCGAAAGCGUGGGGAGCAAACAGG
rnacentral:rRNA from 1 species